GACGAACGCUGGCGGCGUGCUUAACACAUGCAAGUCGAACGGAAAGGCCCUGCUUUUGUGGGGUGCUCGAGUGGCGAACGGGUGAGUAACACGUGAGUAACCUGCCCUUGACUUUGGGAUAACUUCAGGAAACUGGGGCUAAUACCGGAUAGGAGCUCCUGCUGCAUGGUGGGGGUUGGAAAGUUUCGGCGGUUGGGGAUGGACUCGCGGCUUAUCAGCUUGUUGGUGGGGUAGUGGCUUACCAAGGCUUUGACGGGUAGCCGGCCUGAGAGGGUGACCGGCCACAUUGGGACUGAGAUACGGACCAGACUCCUACGGGAGGCAGCAGUGGGGAAUAUUGCACAAUGGGCGGAAGCCUGAUGCAGCAACGUCGCGUGCGGGAUGACGGCCUUCGGGUUGUAAACCGCUUUCGCAGGUGACGAAGCGUGAGUGACGGUAAUGGGUAAAGAAGCACCGGCUAACUACGUG
rnacentral:rRNA from 1 species